UCAGCCGGUUAAUAUAUUUCUUUAUUUUAUGUCACAUUAAAGAGGACAGACUCAGGCCCAUUUAUAGUGAAAUAUAACAUCAUCAUGACAUGAUUAGACACAUUUAUCGUUGAGCACAUUAUUCCUGAGGCCAUUACAAUAGUAUGGCACUUGAACAUUUUCAGAGCUGUGUUAAUGAAUAUUUUCUCAUAUUGUCGAGCGAUUUCUUUCGAUGCAGAGGUCCAGUAAUGAAAUAUUCAAGGUGUGUGGCUGUGCAGCGCCCGUCUGUCCCUGUCUGUGUUUAUUUUUAGCCGUGCUAGCGGCGUCGCUCCAGGGACGGCGAUGUCUCUCUGUCGGACGGUCCACUGCUUUGGUCCUCAACAACUUUUAGAUGGACUGCCAUGAAAGUUUGUGCAGACACUCGAGAUCCCGAGAGAAGAGGUGAAUCCUAACAGCUGAGACUCGCCCUCUAGCGCCACCAGCAGUUUGCCGGCCUGCUCAGCAGCUGCUCCAGGCAGGAUCUUGGACAUGAUGCUGUCUCCCUCCAUGCCAGGCUGACCUGCUGCUGCACUGCCAAUACCUCCUGGCCUAGGAGCAGCCUUGGAGCCUGGACAGGAAAAAGGAGGGAGGAAAAAACAGAAGGAUCCAGAGGAGAUGAGGACUCAGUAAAUGGCAUCUGACAAUGGACAUAUUUUUUUCUUUUUCUAUCAUGACGUUGUUCGUGUUAAGUGCUGUUGUGUGUUUUCAUUGCAGGUUCCAAAAAGCACUUCUAAAUGAAACAGUGUAGGCAGCACUAAAAUGUCUCAUCCUUCAGCUGCAAUAGUUUCCCCCGUUGGAUUUUUCCAUCCCUGUGCAGCUACAGAUUCAGCCUCUUCCCUCUGGCCGGUUCCCCUGUUUACUCACUACGUCUCUGUUUAGAUCCACGUAGACUUCCUGUGUUUAGAUUGUCUGCACAGAUGUGCUGCUGUAACCUUCAGUCAUGUGCAUCUCACUGGCCAAAAACAUAAUUGAAAUUGGACAAUACUGCAAUUCAAUGUCAAUGUUUAAAAAAAAUUAUUAAUAAAAUUAUAAAAACUAAAAUUCA